UACGAAGGGGGGCUAGCGUUGCUCGGAAUCACUGGGCGUAAAGCGCACGUAGGCGGACUCUUAAGUCGGUGGUGAAAUCCUGGAGCUCAACUCCAGAACUGCCUUCGAUACUGAGAGUCUCGAGUCCGGGAGAGGUGAGUGGAACUGCGAGUGUAGAGGUGAAAUUCGUAGAUAUUCGCAAGAACACCAGUGGCGAAGGCGGCUCACUGGCCCGGUACUGACGCUGAGGUGCGAAAGCGUGGGGAGCAAACAGGG
rnacentral:rRNA from 1 species